rnacentral:rRNA from 1 species
UACGAAGGGGGCUAGCGUUGUUCGGAAUUACUGGGCGUAAAGCGCACGUAGGCGGAUAUUUAAGUCAGGGGUGAAAUCCUGGAGCUCAACUCCAGAACUGCCUUUGAUACUGGAGAGCUAGAGUCCGGAAGAGGUGAGUGGAACUGCGAGUGUAGAGGUGAAAUUCGUAGAUAUUCGCAAGAACACCAGUGGCGAAGGCGGCUCACUGGUCCGGUACUGACGCUGAGGUGCGAAAGCGUGGGGAGCAAACAGG